rnacentral:sRNA from 1 species
CCCAAAUCAAAAACCCUAAUUUCUGUAGGUUUUUGUGAUUUAACAGAAAACGAUAUGGGAGUUUUGUUCCUUGCAGAUGGUUUUGCGUCAUCAAUGGAGAUUGAACAAGUUCAAUGGUGGUGCGAUUUGGGAUUUUACAAGUUUUCACGGAAGAGGUUCAAUGGUUUUGUGAUAUUUGGGGUUUCAUUUUGCAAGUUCUCGUGAAGUUGGGGAGAAGAUCAAGAUGGUGAGAUGUUGAUGGUGGUUCUCAUGAUGCAAAACUAUUUGGGCUUGCGAUUUGGGUCUGAUUCAUUAUAGUGAAAGGUUUCUUUUGCAGAUUGGGUUUCUUGGUUGAUUUGUGGUGGCUUGUGUAGUUGCUAACGGCGAAGCUCAUGGUGGUCCGACGUAAUGGAGAAGAUGAUGGCUUGAGUAUGGUGCACGACGACGCGUUGAUGAAAGGAAAAUGAGGGUUUCUUAUUU